rnacentral:rRNA from 1 species
UACGAAGGGGGCUAGCGUUGCUCGGAAUCACUGGGCGUAAAGGGCGCGUAGGCGGCCGAUUAAGUCGGGGGUGAAAGCCUGUGGCUCAACCACAGAAUUGCCUUCGAUACUGGAGAGCUUGAGUCCGGGAGAGGUGAGUGGAACUGCGAGUGUAGAGGUGAAAUUUCGUAGAUAUUCGGCGGAACACCAGUGGCGAAGGCGACUCACUGGCCCGAUACUGACGCUGAUGCGCGAAAGCGUGGGGAG